rnacentral:rRNA from 1 species
AGCAGCCGCGGUAAUUCCAGCUCCAAUAGCGUAUAUUAAAGUUGUUGCAGUUAAAAAGCUCGUAGUUGAAUUUCGGGGUCUAUCCAUUGGUCGGGCUUUACGGUCCGUACUGGUGUGAUGGAUUCCUACCUUCUGAAUAACCGGCAUGCUAUUAAUUUGGUGCGCUGGGGAAGCAGGACUGUUACCUUGAAAAAAUUAGAGUGCUUAAAGCAGGCUAUUGCCUGAAUACAUUAGCAUGGAAUAAUGAAAUAGGACGGCAUGGUUCUAUUUUGUUGGUUUCUAGGAUCACCGUAAUGAUUAAUAGGGAUAGUUGGGGGCAUUAGUAUUCAAUUGUCAGAGGUGAAAUUCUUGGAUUUAUUGAAGACUAACUUCUGCGAAAGCAUUUGCCAAGGAUGUUUUCAUUAAUCAAGAACGAAAGUUAGGGGAUCGAAGACGAUCAGAUACCGUCGUAGUCUUAACCAUAAACUAUGCCAACUAGGGAUCGGAUGAUGUUAUUUUUUUAAUGACUCAUUCGGCACCU